rnacentral:lncRNA from 1 species
GGAAAAGGAGUUUAAAAGCAAGAGCUUAAAAGACUAGCACUCCUCUUGCAUCACACACCAUUAUCACAUGCUCACAAGGUAGUGCAAAACCACCACUUAAUCUUAGCAAGAUCACAUGCACUCACAACACCACAACACUACUCCUAUCAAACUCAAAUGCAACAUGAUCAUGGCAUGCAAUCAUAAGUAUGGCAAGGAAUGAUAUGUAAUUCAUGCAUGCAAGGGAAGUAAACACCAGGGAACACACAUGAAUUCA